AGAGUUGAUCCUGGCUUAGGACGAACGCUGGCGGCGUGCUUCAUACAUGCAAGUCGAACGAGAAUCUGGAGCUUGCUUCAGAGGAAAGUGGCGGACGGGUGAGUAAUAUGUAGAGAAUCUGCCCUUGAGCGGGGGACAACAGAGGGAAACUUCUGCUAAUACCCCAUAUGAGCUUAGUUGAAAUACUAAUCUUGAAAACUCCGGUGCUCAAGGAUGAGUCUGCAUCUGAUUAGCUUGUUGGCGGUGUAAUGGACCACCAAGGCGACGAUCAGUAGCUGGUUUGAGAGGAUGAUCAGCCACAAUGGGACUGAGACACGGCCCAUACUCCUACGGGAGGCAGCAGUAGGGAAUUUUGCGCAAUGGGCGAAAGCCUGAACCGCAGCAACGCCGCGUGAACGAUUAAGCCCUUCGAGGUGUAAAGUUCUGUCAGUAGGGACGAAUUUUGACGGUACCUACAGAGGAAGCACCGGCUAACUCCGUGCCAGCCGCUGC
rnacentral:rRNA from 1 species